rnacentral:rRNA from 1 species
AUUGAACGCUGGCGGCAGGCUUAACACAUGCAAGUCGCGCGAGCGGCGGACGGGUGAGUAAUGUCUGGGAAACUGCCUGAUGGAGGGGGAUAACUACUGGAAACGGUAGCUAAUACCGCAUACCAUCAGAUGUGCCCAGAUGGGAUUAGCUAGUAGGUGGGGUAAUGGCUCACCUAGGCCACGAUCCCUAGCUGGUCUGAGAGGAUGACCAGCCACACGGGAACUGAGACACGGUCCAGAUUCCUACGAGAGGCAGUAGUGGCGAAUAUUGCACAAUGGGAGCAAGCCUGAGGCAGCCCUGCCGCGUGUUUGAAGAAGGCCUUCGGGUUGUAAAGCACGCUCAGCGAGGAGGCGUUACUAGCAGAAGAAGCACCGGCUAACUCCGUGCCAGCAGCAGCGGUAAUAC